rnacentral:misc_RNA from 1 species
AACAUCGCGCACCUGCGGGAACCUGCGGAGGGAUCAUUACCGAGUUUACAACUCCCAAACCCCUGUGAACAUACCUAUACGUUGCCUCGGCGGAUCAGCCCGCGCCCCGUAAAACGGGACGGCCCGCCCGAGGACCCCUAAACUCUGUUUUUAGUGGAACUUCUGAGUAAAACAAACAAAUAAAUCAAAACUUUUAACAAUGGAUCU